rfam:Pyrococcus furiosus DSM 3638, complete genome.
CCCUAUGAUGAGAGAGCUGUUAAAUGAGUGGUGAUUAGAGGAUGGCUGGCUGAGG